CCAGGCAAAUGUUUUCUUUGCUUAAAAAUGUUGGAAAACUUUCCUGAAAAUUCUAUAAAGCCUCAGCAGCCUGCUAUUAGACGAUCAAACACAAAGGAAUGUUCAUAAUAAUCAAACACAAGAUUAACGAGCCGAACAAAUUGCAUUGAUGCGGGACCAAUAUGCACAGGUUCGCCCUGCAGAAGAGACAAACUUUUGCUAGAAGAAGACAAGCUGUAAAUUUAGACUCAAAUCUCGCUUGCAUAACAGAUACGAUUCUACAAUCGACUCAGCUGAAGUUAGUUUCUAUUGGAUACUGAUGUAAGUUCUUUCAGAUCUGUUUUGUUGGCGAUUCAGAAGUUGAACUAAAUCAAUGCCAAAUUCUUCUGUAUGAGCAUAAUGAAUUGGACAGAUUGUUUACAUUCGCAUUAGAUACCAUGCAUUCCGACGACCACAAAAUCAUUAUCAGAUCAGACAAAAUUUACAAUUUAUAAUGGCCAAUUCUCUGACAGGAUUGCCUAUCAUUUCUCUUUCAUUCCACAAUAAGUUUAAAUUUAUGUUUAAGGAAAAGAAACGAAUGAGGUCAGCUUAAUGAAUUUUUAAGCGUUUAGAUUGAUUAUUUGGCAAAAUGUUGACAAUCAUUUCUUAGACCGGAUAGUCUCAAUUUUAAGCAGAUGAUACUACUCCUACUAAUCUCGGUCGUUUAACAUUCUUCCAGUUCUGAUGUUUGAAGCCCUCGUCAUAUACAUAAGAACGCUCAAGAUGCCAUGAAUUACGGAUUUAUUCACCACUUUCACGUGCAGUACGAGAUGGCCAGAAAUUUCGAAUCUGCGAUUGACAUGACAUUAACGCCCGAGUAUUCAAAUAUAAGAUGAGAAAACUUAAGGAUUAGAUCUUUAAGCAAAGGAUCGUUUAACGGAGUUCCCUGUUGGAUGUUCUCGAUUGAAUGGCGUAGUUUACCGCACGCUUUGGAUGCUCUACAAGAUCCGGCCUGAUAAAUUAUCUGCAUUUUGUUAUCACUCUGGGAUUAUAUAAAACAUUGAUUAGGGACGUGACAAAGAUCGUCGCGCCCUCAUGUUUAUUAUAU